CGCAAGCCUGACGGAGCAAGACCGCGUGAGGGAAGAAGGUCUGUGGAUUGUAAACCUCUUUUGACAGGGAAGAAAAAUGACGGUACCUGUCGAAUCAGCCUCGGCUAACUCCGUGCCAGCAGCCGCGGUAUUACGGAGGAGGCAAGCGUUAGCCGGAAUGAUUGGGCGUAAAGCGUCCGUGGGGGGUUUUACAAGUCUUUUGUCAAAGAGCGGAGCUUAACUCCGAUAGGGCGAAGGAAACGGGGAGAAUAGGGAUUGGUAGGGGUAGAGGGAAUUCCUGGGGUAGCGGUGAAAGGCGUAGAUAUCAGGAAGAACACCGGUGGCGAAAGCGCUCUGCUGGGCCGUAACUGACACUCAUGGACGAAAGCUAGGGGAGCG
rnacentral:rRNA from 1 species